rnacentral:rRNA from 1 species
CGCGUAGGUGGUUUGGUCAGUCAGAUGUGAAAGCCCUGGGCUUAACCUGGGAAUUGCAUUUGAUACUGCCAGACUAGAGUAUGGUAGAGGGAAGUGGAAUUCCGGGUGUAGCGGUGAAAUGCGUAGAUAUCCGGAGGAACAUCAGUGGCGAAGGCGGCUUCCUGGACCAAUACUGACGCUGAGGUGCGAAAGCGUGGGUAGCAAACA